UACGUAGGGGGCAAGCGUUGUCCGGAUUUAUUGGGCGUAAAGAGCGUGUAGGCGGCCAUGUAGGUCCGUUGUGAAAACUCGAGGCUCAACCUCGAGACGCCGAUGGAAACCAUGUGGCUAGAGUCCGGAAGAGGAGAGUGGAAUUCCUGGUGUAGCGGUGAAAUGCGCAGAUAUCAGGAGGAACACCAGCGGCGAAGGCGGCGCUCUGGGCCGGAACUGACGCUGAGGAGCGAAAGCGUGGGUAGCAAACAGG
rnacentral:rRNA from 1 species